AGUCCUUGUUUUGCUUCAAAAGGAAGGGAAUCACAAGUGAUUGACACAACUGACGAUAGAAGACAAAGAUAUGAAAAUUGGAUGAACAAAAUUCGCGUGUUCAGGGAGCCAAUUUGUUAGGGCCAAGACAUGUAAUGCCACAAGCAACCUUGCCCAGGGUCAUGAGUCAAGCCCAUGGUUGGUUGCUUGUGUGCAAGUGGCAUUAUUGUAAUUUCUAUUUUCCUUGUAUUUUAUUUUAUUUAGCUUGGCCCUCCUUGGCUUUUUGAUGUUUCCCACAGCCAAGUGAGAAUUUGGCCGAUAUGCUCUUUGUAGGGGAGUUCCUAGUCGGCGACGGUUGGACUAAGGAACUAGUAUAGGUAAGCACAUGUACUUUAGCCUCUACUAACGUCUUACCAUCAAUAAAGAGAGGAAUUAUUCAAUCAUCUGUGUCCCGUGAGAUCAUUUCAACUUUUCAUUCGAGUUGCCCGCUCGCUCUUUGAGCUCGCUCCAAUAAUUAUAUAACACUGUGUUCUUGCUUGUUGCUAGCAUCAUAUUAAUAUCGUGUGGUUUCCAUUGUUCCUUGCAAGGUGCGCACAAGGCUGACUUGCUACCUUUUCAAGGCUAGCGAGUGCCGCACGGUCCUCUUUGCACCCUCGCAAAGUCGGCCCGUGACAGGUGGUAUCAGAGCCAUCUUGGCUCGAAGGCUCACAACAUGCCGGGAGGAAUGACAAAGCAACAAAAAUUUGAUUGGUAUGACCAAAUGCUUGGUGAACUUGCGGGAGUCCCUGAUAGAUUGAUUGACAUCACCUCCACGCUAGGCCGUGUCGACCUAGAUGAACUGGCGACACGAGUCAAUGACCUUGGGGAGUUGAGAGGGCGAGUUGCAGCCCUAGACCGCGUCGACCUGGAUGAGUUGGCGGCGCGAGUUGAUGACCUUGAAAGAUUGAAAGGGCGAGUUACGGCCCUUGAAAAGAUGGAAGCUCCAAGACUCGAUGUAGAGACCGAGAGAGAUGGAGGUUCUGUUUCACAAGAGCAGAUGGGGGCGAUGGGUGAUGCCCUCGAAACUCUACAAGUGACUAUGGACACCAUGGCGGAGGAUGUCCGAGCCACUAUUGAUGCAUUCAAGAACGAGCUGUUGGAGAUGAAUACCAAGCUCAAUCUAACUAUCCGGGCGAUGAGUAACCAACCUGUGACGGACUACAGGAGGGUAAAGAUCCCGGAACCUCAAGCUUACGGAGGGGCGCGAGACGCCAAGGAGCUUGAGAAUUUUCUAUUUGAUAUGGAGCAAUACUUCCGAGCAGUGAAGCCGGAUUCAGAAGAAGCAAAAGUGGGCAUGGCGACAAUGUAUUUGUCGGGCGAUGCGAAACUGUGGUGGAGAACAAAAUACAACGACAUCCAGAGGAAUGUCUGUACCAUUGCCACAUGGGAGGACCUGAAGAAAGAGCUGAAGAUGCAGUUCUUCCCAGAGAAUGUGGACUACAUUGCAAGACGACAGUUGAGAGAGCUGAAGCACACCAACAACAUUAGAGAGUUUGUGAGCAAAUUCUCUGUGCUCAUGCUCGAUCUCCCAGAUAUGUCGGAGAAGGACCGACUAUUCUAUUUCCUUGAGGGGUUAAAGCCGUGGGCUAGAACUGAACUUCAGAGACAAAGGGUUCAAGAUUUGGCUUCUGCUCAAGCAGCAGCUGAAAGGUUGACAGACUACACUUUUGAAGAGAACCCUCCCAAAAGGACCUCAUCCUUUUCGAAUGUGAAUGCCAACAAAAGUGUGAGACCAGGACAAAGUAGAAGUGGGGGAGCGGAGUCAAAGUUCUCCAGUUUCGGAGGAGGGGGACGGAUGACCAAUGUAAGGGAUACAGCCUCUUCCAAACCGGCUGCAUCAACAGGAGUAUUUCCCCCACGGCAAUUCAACUCUGCCGGCUUCACACAAAGACCUAUAUCUUGCUUCUUAUGCAAGGGGCCUCAUAGGGUGAAUGAGUGUCCACACAAGACGGCCUUGACAGCCCUACAAGCCCACAUUUCGACGAAGGAGUCUGAAGAACCACAAGAGGAAGUGGAGGAACCUAGUCAGAUGGGUGCCUUGAGAUUCUUGAACGCAGUGGAAAAGCAACCACCCGCGUCCCAGGAGUCUCAGCCCAAGGGCCUAAUGUUUGUGAAUGGGAGCAUAAACGGGAAGGUUGCCAAGAGUGUGAUGGUCGACACUAGCGCCACCCAUAAUUUUGUGUCUGAAACAGAAGCACGGAAGUUGGGAUUGAAGAUAGAGAAGGAUAUUGGCCGCAUGAAAGCAGUCAACUCCUCACCCUUGGCCACAGUGGGGGUAUCCCGAAGAGCACAGGUGAAGCUGGGUAGUUGGGAAGGGAAGACAGACUUGGUUGUUGUAGAAAUGGACGACUUCGACGUCAUAUUAGGGAUGGACUUUUUGCUGGAACACAAAGCCAUCCCCAUUCCCAAUGCCCGAAAUUUGUUGAUCAUGGGGGAGAGACCAUGUGUAGUGCCUGCAAAGAUAGUCCCGCCAAGUGAACCCCGUCUCUUGUCUGCUCUCCAGUUCAAGAAAGGGGUGAAGCGACAUGAGCCUUCGUACGUCGCUGUCCCCUUGGUAAAAGAUGGGGCUGAACCAGAAGUGGUGCCAAAAGAAGUUCAGAGGGUACUGGAGAGUUACAAGGAUGUGAUGCCGGUAGAACUCCCUAAGGAGCUGCCACCAAGGAGAAACAUAGAUCAUGAGAUUGAGUUACUACCUGGUGCAAAACCACCCGCAAGGGCCCCUUACAGAAUGGCUCCGCCAGAGCUAGCAGAAUUGAGGAAGCAAUUGGGAGACCUGUUAGAAGCAGGGUUCAUUCAGCCCUCAAAGGCUCCAUUUGGUGCGCCGGUGCUGUUCCAGAAGAAGCAUGAUGGGAGCUUGAGGUUGUGUAUAGACUACCGAGCUCUCAACAAAGUCACCGUGCGAAACAAGUACCCCAUUCCCUUGAUCGCAGAUUUGUUUGACCAGCUCAGUGGCGCCAAAUAUUUCACCAAGCUGGACCUCCGCUCGGGAUACUACCAAGUCCGCAUAGCGGAAGGAGAUGAGCCCAAGACUACAUGUGUCAUGCGAUAUGGUGCUUUUGAGUUCCUGGUGAUGCCGUUCGGGUUGACCAAUGCACCUGCCACUUUCUGCACAUUGAUGAACCAAGUCUUCCAUGGUUUCCUUGACAAAUUUGUGGUGGUGUACUUGGAUGACAUUGUGAUAUACAGUUCUACUCUGGAGGAACAUGUGGAACACCUAAGACUAGUGUUUCAACAGUUACGAGCAAAUCAGCUGUAUGUCAAGCGCGAGAAGUGCUCUUUCGCACAAGAUACUAUCAAGUUCUUGGGCCAUGUUAUAGAGAGGGGGAGGAUCAGGAUGGACAUGGAGAAAGUACAAGCGAUCGAGGAGUGGCAGAGUCCCACGAAUGUGAAGGAGCUGCGUUCUUUUCUUGGACUGGCCAAUUACUAUAGGCGGUUCAUUAAAAAUUACUCAGGAAGGACAACUCCCUUGACUGACCUCUUGAAGAAGGGAGCGACGUGGGACUGGAACGAAGACUGUGAGCAAGCCUUCAUGGACUUGAAGAAGGCCGUGAUGGAAGAUCAUGUUCUUGCCUUGCCAGACUUGAGCAAACCAUUUGAAGUGCAGACCGAUGCAUCUGACUUCGCCCUAGGGGGAGUCCUAUUACAAGAAGGACAUCCAGUGGCGUAUGAGAGUCAUAAGCUCUCACUAGUGGAAAGGAGAUAUACAGCCCAUGAGAGAGAAAUGUUGGCUGUGAUUCACUGUUUGAGGACUUGGAGGCACUAUUUGCUAGGGGCAAAUUUUACUGUGAAGACAGACAACUCUGCAGUUAGUCAUUUCCUGACACAACCGAAGUUGACCUCAAAGCAAGCUCGGUGGCAAGAGUUUCUCGCCGAGUUCGACUUCCAAUUUGAGCACAAAGCAGGGUACACCAAUCAAGUUGCGGACGCCCUAAGCCGCAAGGCCAACCUUGCGGCCCUUCGAAACCUGGCGACUUUGUCAGGCAGUGGAGUUGCCACUGACAUUAAGGAAAGAGUAAAGGCUGGUUUGGAGAAAGAUCUCGUGGCCCAAGGCCUCGUGAAGCUAGUGCAAGAAGGGAAGAGCCGCAGAUUCUGGUUGGAGGACGGCUUGUUAAAGACAAAAGGAGGAAGAACAUAUCUUCCCCGGGUGGAUGGAUUGCGAAGAAUGUUGAUGAGAGAGUGCCAUGACACCUUGUGGGCAGGGCAUCCUGGGUGGCACAGAACCUAUGCCCUCCUGAAACAGGGUUACUACUGGCCGCAGAUGCGAGAUGAUGUGAUGGAGUACACCAGGACGUGUCUCAUCUGCCAACAAGACAAGGUGGAGCGACAGAAGACAGCUGGGUUAUUGGAGCCGUUGGCAACACCCACUCGUCCGUGGGAGAGUGUCUCCCUUGAUUUCAUUACCAAUCUCCCGAAGGUUGGGGAAGUAUCUGGAAUCCUAGUUGUGGUGGACAGGUUCUCGAAGUAUGCCACAUUUGUUCCAACAUCGAAACAUUGUUCUGCAGAAGACACAGCGAGUCUCUUCUUCAAACAUGUGGUGAAGUAUUGGGGAGUACCACAGAAUAUCGUUAGCGAUCGAGACCCUAGGUUCACAGGGUCGUUUUGGACAGAAUUGUUCAAGCUGCUGGGGUCUGAACUCAACAUCUCCUCCAGUUAUCACCCUCAGACGGAUGGGCAGACUGAGAGAUUCAAUGCAAUGCUGGAAGAAUACUUGAGGCACUUUGUUCAUGCAAAUAUGAAGAAUUGGGUGGAGUUACUGGAUGUGGCCCAGUUCUGUUUCAAUUCGAAGAAGAGUUCAGCCACCAACAAGAGCGCUUUUGAAGUGGUGACUGGCCAGCAACCACUCUUGCCUCAUACUGUGCAGGAGGUAUACAAGGGGAAAAACCCGCGAGCUUUCAACUUCACCAAAGAGUGGAAAGCCAACGCGGACGUUGCUCGAAGUUACUUGGAGAAAGCGGCGAAGAGAAUGAAGAAGUGGGCAGAUCAGAGUCGCAAACCCCGAGAGUUCCAAGAAGGAGACAUGGUGCUCGUGAAGCUGCUCCCUGAACAGAUCAGGAAUAUGCGCUCCACAGGCAAGCGGUUGUUCAGGAAGUAUGAAGGCCCACUUCCGGUUCUUUCCAAAGUGGGGAAGUGCUCUUACAAAGUCGACAUCCCUGCCUGGAUGAAAGUUCACCCUGUCUUCCAUGUCAGCAACCUCAAACCUUACCAGUCUGAUGUCGAAGAUCAAAGCCGCAACCAGCCUACUCGACAACAUGUGGAGCUCAAGACACACAAACCAAAGGAGGUAGAGGAGAUUCUAGCCGAGAGAGUAGUUGACAAGUUCGAACAAGGGCGGGGAGACCGCCUAGUUACAGUGCGCCAGCAGCAGUACUUAGUGAAGUGGAAGAAGAUGGGAGAGGAAGAGAUCUGUUGGGAGAAUGUCGAAGCCCUGAAGAAGUUCAAGCAGAAGAUUGAAGAUUUCAAGCUAAGUUCAAGCCUAAGGCAGUCGUCGAGAGCGCCGACAGCUUAAGUGGGGGAGGAUGUUAGGGUCAAGACAUGUAAUGCCACAAGCAACCUUGCCCAGGGUCAUGAGUCAAGCCCAUGGUUGGUUGCUUGUGUGCAAGUGGCAUUAUUGUAAUUUCUAUUUUCCUUGUAUUUUAUUUUAUUUAGCUUGGCCCUCCUUGGCUUUUUGAUGUUUCCCACAGCCAAGUGAGAAUUUGGCCGAUAUGCUCUUUGUAGGGGAGUUCCUAGUCGGCGACGGUUGGACUAAGGAACUAGUAUAGGUAAGCACAUGUACUUUAGCCCCUACUAACGUCUUACCAUCAAUAAAGAGAUGAAUUAUUCAAUCAUCUGUGUCCCGUGAGAUCAUUUCAACUUUUCAUUCGAGUGCCCGCUCGCUCUUUGAGCUCGCUCCAUAAUUAUAUAACACUGUGUUCUUGCUUGUUGCUAGCAUCAUAUUAAUAUCGUGUGGUUUCCAUUGUUCCUUGCAAGGUGCGCACAAGGCUGACUUGCUACCUUUUCAAGGCUAGCGAGUGCCACACGGUCCUCUUUGCACCCUCGCAAAGUCGGCCCGUGACACAAUUGAUGACUAUUACAGCUUUUCUUUAGAGUUCAUAACAAUCUUCCUUAGUCAUUCAAGUUUUCCAAAUUUAUCAAAAAUUAUGAUAUGCGUAUGGUCUAAUUAUUUAUGUACCAAUUGAUGACUUACAAUGCAACGAGAAUGUGAUUAUACUAACACGCUUAUUACAAGAAAAACAUAACCAACAAAAGAAAGGAAGAUCAUCUAAGAAUCGAAGCUGCAGAAAGUUUAAAUAAAUGCUCCAAAGGAUCCCAAAUGGCCAUACUUGGUUUGUGAUGUUAAAACUCAAUUUGCCGUAUGGUGGGAAACAUAUUUGUGUUUUUAUCUUUAUUUGGAUACCACAUAAGGUCCUAAACUUACUUCUUUGUGAAAGGGAAAACAUCAAUUAAUAUGCAAAAUAUGACUAAGUAAGAUCAUAAAGAGUGGUUUGUAACUAAAUCAUGCCCAUCUACCAUCUCUUCAUACUCUCGAUAUAAGUGGAGGUGCUCUCAAUCUAUCUUAAUCUUGAAGCAUCUUUUUCUUUGUAUUCCAAACCAAUUAAACACCAAUUGAGUUAACAUGGCAUGUUAUGCAAUAUAAUCAUGAUAUUACGGGACCCUAGCUUUCUUGUAAUGUUGUUCAAAUUCACUUAGACCACAAAGAUUCACUGGCAUCAAAAGGUUUCAAAUGGGUGAUUAUUAUAAGAGCUGUUGAUUAACUUUCUAAACAACAAAAAAGCAAGACUUACUUCGAGCUAACCGACAACAUUUACCUCUAUCUUACAACUAAUUAACCCUUUUUAAUCCCUUUGAUAUUCGUUUAUGACUUGCAUUACGAUCAAAGUAACCAAUUGACCUAAGCUCUUUUCAACUUCUUAUAUAAUUAUAUAAAGGUGACAUGGAACGUGAACAUAGAAGAGAGAAUUAGUAACUUGCUUAUCACUAGUAGAUGCUUUCAAUCCCUCUCAUGAUCAUAAUCAAACAAGCUACUUCGUGAAAGAAUCAAAGUUGGUAAAGUUUCUUGGCAUAUCAUACCAUAUAUAUGAUCAACUUAUUCAAAUCCCGCACUAGAUAUAUCAUCACGAUGUCAACAAAAUCUUACGGGUUGAAUUUGGAGUUACCAAAUCAAAUUUAAAGUGUACUCUUUUUCUCAUAUGCACUCUUAUUCACUAGUUUAUUUCCUAAUUUCAAGAGUAAAAUUAACAUAGAACGAAAUUUGUAAUUUUUGGUGCAGUAGUAAAAUACACUAGUGCUGAGACCUAUUAAGAUAAGGGUCUAAAUCUUGACUUGGAGGGAUAUAUAGUCGAGUCUCUCUCUCUCUCACAUGCAUGCUCGCAUCACUCACCUUCAAACCCCAAUCAUUCUGCUCUCCACUAAUU
rnacentral:lncRNA from 1 species